CCAGUGUUGUUUAGUUUAUAAUUCAUUGAUUACUAGUGUGAUUCAGCAGUUUUUCGUUUCUUUUUUUUUUUUUCUUUUUUUUUGAGAUGGGGUUUCCUCUUGUUGCCCAGGCUGGAGUGCAAUGGCAUGAUCUCGGCUCACUGGGAUUAUAGGCGUGAGCCACCAUGCCUGGCCAAUUGAGCAGUUUUUCAUGUUUCUUGGCUCCUCAAGUUUAUUCUUUAGUGAAUUUCCAGCUUCGGUAUUAGGACCUAAUAGACAUCUACAGAACUCUCCACCCCAAAUCAACAGAAUAUACAUUUUUUUCAGCACCACACCACACCUAUUCCAAAAUUGACCACAUACCUGGAAGUAAAGCUCUCCUCAGCAAAUGUAAAAGAACAGAAAUUAUAACAAACUAUCUCUCAGACCACAGUGCAAUCAAACUAGAACUCAGGAU
rnacentral:lncRNA from 10 species